ensembl:lncRNA
CCUGUUUUCAACUUGCUUUUCUGAAGCCAUUCCAACAUUGAGAACACAGAGAAGAUGGAUCCAGGGAGCAUGUUAGUCCCUCUGGAGGUUGUGGUACUUCAGCUAAUCAAUGAUUAGCUUGGAUGCUGCAGGAGGGAUUUUCAAAAGUGUCUUUAACAAAAAAAAGAGGAAGGGAAGAUGGUGCAGUGAAACACUAGCAGUAGUAUAUCAAGUAUGUUUGUUGCAGUAUUUUGUUGCAGAAAUAUUUCAUCAUUUAGAGAGAGGAGUGCCUUGUAUCUGAGUCAUAGCUGUCGAGAAGAAGGUUAUUGCUGAAGGUGAAGAAGUGGUUGGAGCAGGAGAAUUGCUGAUGAGGAGGGAAGCUUUGUCCUGAAGGGCACGGUGCCUCUGUGCCAUUGUGUUCCCAGGUUCCACGAGGCAAGUGACUUAAACUAGACUUUACAUAGCAGGUGGCUGAUGAGCCAUCUCCCGUGGUUUGUGUGCCCAAUUGGAUGCUCAAGGUAUGAGUUACGGAAAUGUUGAGAUGCUGCUCUGAACUUAGUAGGCCUUUGCUGUAGAGCCCAUCAGGAGUUUUGACACUGCUGGCAGAGAUGUCAGGCUUAACCCAGGUGGUGUAAUGGCUCCUGGCAGCACACUGCUGUGUUAGAGUGGUUCCUUGGGUCAGCUGAACGGUGUUAGUGCAGUGUGAGGCCACUGCCUCCUUCUCUUGCUGAAGUUCAUCAGCUGUGGCCCUGUACUCUGGUUAUGGCGCAGGAGCUAACUCAAUCAAACUUCCUGCAGUGCCUCUGCAAGUUCUGGAGGUGCGCUGGGGAGAGGUAGCCUUGAAGUGCUUGUAAUAACUUCUGAAUUCUCUGGAAAUUGAGUCUCACAAGUCUCAGUCAAGCUGUUACAGCAUCUGGAGUUGGAAACCAUGCAACUAGAAGCCUUUCUGGAGUGGAAGCAACUGGAAACAGUUUACUGGCAGUGGAUGGAAACCGUGUUAGAUAACAUGGCUGAAGAGGGAAGCUUGCGCUCGGUGCAGGACACUCCUGUGGAGAACAGCAGGCUGCAGGGGGGGGCCACGUGCUGCCCCUGGGCUGAAAGUAUGACUGCGCAAAUCAAUAGGUUGUCUGGGGAGAUGACAGCUCUCCACAGCCAGCUGAACAAGCUGGUAGCACGCCGAAGGUCUGCUUGGUGGCAGAAGGUGAAAACAAGAGAGGAAGAACUGCAGAAAGAGGACUUCUCUGCCAAACUAGGAAAGAUAGAGGAAUCAGUGGAGCUGAAACUACUAGAUCUUAUGAACCACGGUACUCCAAACAGAAAUAAAAUGCAUGGGUCAUGCAGGCUGGUGUUUAGAAGCAAACAUUCUGCCAGCAAAACAGGCUUUGGUAGAUCUGUAUCCAAGGAACCUGUUCCAGCUGUCAGUGCUACAGAGGUGAUUAGAGAACUGCGGAUGAGAGAGGCCAGCCUACAGAGAGAGCUGAAGCAGCUGCAGGAUGAGUGCAAGCAGAGGUUGGAUGGAAUUGCAGAGAGGUUGGAUGGAGUGAUUUGUAUCUCUCCUUGAAGAGAGAAAGCUGGACUCAGAAGAACAAAGGAGAGGGCUUAUUUGAUCAGAACACACUUGUGCAGUUUGGCAUGGGGGAGUGCAAGAUGAGGAACCAAAUGUGAGCUUUGAUAUUUAAGCCUGGGAACAGUAACUUGUUUCUGCUUUGUGACUUGCACUGGGGCCAUAACCUUUGUGGUUCUGCCUGCAGCCUCUUUAUUGCUAACCUUGCCAAUUAAAUUCUGCAGCAGGCCUUAGUGGGAGUGUGCUUACAUCUCCCUUUUAUCUUUUAGAUGUUUAGUUCUUCUGCCAAGCACUGGCUCUUCCAGAAUGCUCAGCUGCUAGACACAGCUUUCUUUGAGGCUGCAGAUUGGAGUACUAAUUGCAUACAACAUUUUCCAGCAAGUGGAAGCAUUCAUUAGUCAGAAAAAUCCAGGUACUGGAGAACAUACAAAGCACCAAGGCUCAGAGAGAUUGGGAAAGCAUGCUAUUUUUAAUUCAGCUGGUUUGCAUAUUUGUGGCAGCUAUAAGGCAGCCACUGUAAAGAAAAACAAAUGCCUAAUAAUAAAUAAAGCUGCACGCUGACUUCA